rnacentral:lncRNA from 1 species
AACACCACGGCCACCGCAGAACAAACUACCAUUUUCCUUCUAAGUAUUGACACAUAUGGAUUAGCAUAGGUGUUAGGGUUUAGAAUUUCCACUUUCUCUUCCAAUUUCCUCCGGAGAACGAUGACGGUGAAAGCGAUAAUGAUGACACUAGCAGCAUAACGGCAAUUGUAUGAAGAAUUUAAGGUAAUUGUUCAAUACUAAUUUUUAUGUUGCUCAAGGAUUAAUUUUUUUUUCUCCAAGUAAAAUAUAUUAUUCAAUGUUGUCGCAGGUUCAUAACUGUAUUUUUCCUAUGAG